rnacentral:rRNA from 1 species
GUCGAGAAUCUUUCACAAUGGGGGCAACCCUGAUGGAGCGACGCCGCGUGGAGGAUAAGGUCUUCGGAUUGUAAACUCCUGUCAUGCGUGAACAAGGUUGCUUGGUUAAUACCUGGGCAAAUUGAUGGUAACGCAAGAGGAAGAGACGGCUAACUCUGUGCCAGCAGCCGCGGUAAUACAGAGGUCUCAAGCGUUGUUCGGAAUCACUGGGCGUAAAGGGUGAGUAGGUGGCGUGGUAAGUCAGAUGUGAAAGCCCGGGGAUCAACAUCAGAACUGCAUCCGAUGCUGCCAUGCUAGAGUACUGGAGAGGUGACUAGAAUUCUCGGUGUAGCAGUGAAAUGCGUAGAUAUCGAGAGGAAUACCAAAGGCGUAGGCAGGUCACUGGACAGUUACUGACACUGAGGCACGAAGGCCAGGGGAGCGAACGGGAUUAGAUACCCGUGUAGUCC